UCUGAGACACGAAUCCAGGCCCUACGGGGUGCAGCAGGCGCGAAAACUUUACAAUGCCGGCAACGGCGAUAAGGGGACCUCGAGUGCCAGGUUACAAAUCUGGCUGUCGUGAUGCCUAAAAAGCAUUGCAUAGCAAGGGCCGGGCAAGACCGGUGCCAGCCGCCGCGGUAACACCGGCGGCUCGAGUGGUAACCGUUAUUAUUGGGUCUAAAGGGUCUGUAGCCGGCCGGAUAAGUCUCUUGAGAAAUCCAGCAGCUCAACUGUUGGGCUUUCAGGAGAUACUGUUCGGCUCGAGGCCGGGAGAGGUGAGAGGUACUUCAGGGGUAGGGGUGAAAUCUUGUAAUCCUUGAAGGACCACCAGUGGCGAAGGCGUCUCACCAGAACGGACCUGACGGCAAGGGACGAAAGCUAGGGGCACGAACCGGAUUAGAUACCCGGGUAGUCCUAGCCGUAAACGAUACUCGCUAGGUGUCGGCCACGGUGCGACCGUUGUCGGUGCCGUAGGGAAGCCGUGAAGCGAGC
rnacentral:rRNA from 1 species